AUAACUAGGGCCUCUCAAAGCUGGUUAGGCCGACCGGAGGCGAGAGAGGGUCAGCCAUGGCGGCGGUGGAUCUGUCGAAGCUGGUGAAGGAGAAGCGGUUCUGGGCGGCCUCCUUCCUCAUCGCGUGGGCGGCGGCGCUACAGGGGCACAUGAUGUGGUUGAAGCGGCAAGACGCCUUCAAGGACAAGUUCGGCGACCCCGAGGCCCCCAACAAGGUCACCGAGCAGCCGCCCGACGACACCACCACCAGACUCGCCGGCGAGCAGGGGGAGCUCACCGCCGACGCCGAGAUCAGAUAGGUAGCUACUAGGUAGAUGGACGAGUACGGGAUCCUUCUUUUAUUUUGCCCUGUUUUCCUUGACGGAUCAAUCACCAUGGGGGCGUCUAGCUCUGUCUCUGUAAUUUAGUAAUACUUCUUGGCAGUGCAAGCUUGCUCACAUAAAUAAUGUUUGCUUGUUAAA